AAAAGGGAACACAUGGGCAUCAUAGGCCUCGGAGAACCAGGAACAUCAUUUCAGCAGUGUAUGGAUGCCAUUUCACCAUACAUAGAGAAACUGCAGGAAGGUUAUUAUGCUGACUGCCCUUACUAUGGGGGUGAGGUGUUUGUUUGUGGAGGAAUUGGCGAGAUCAAUGCAGACAUGCCCCAGGCAAACCACUGUGCCAACUGUUUGUCAUCCACUGCAAACAAAAGAUGUAGGUUUUGCACGGUUGACAAGGCCGACCUCUCCAACCCACAGGUGGCCAGUGAAGCACCCGCAGGACAAAGGCCA